CCGCUCCCUUCCUGCUUAGCAUUGGAAGAAACUAGACUCUCCAGGCAUUCAUCGAUCUUAGCUUCUUGCUUCUUUGAUUUGAAAAAGUUUUAAAACUUGCGAAGAAUAUGCGUGGACUUAUCCGCUGAUGAAGAAUGCAUCACAGGGUAGGUACAAUGUCUUUUGGAAACCCUAUUAUGUUUAUUGGAUUUGAUGAAAUAGAAUUCUGUAUUUGAUUGAAG